AAAUAUGAAGCACUUAGUGCGUUUAACUGUUAAUUAAAAGGAGCUAAUUGUAGCCAUAUUUU
rnacentral:tRNA from 1 species